ACAGCAGUCGCCACGGUAAUACGGAGGGGGCUAGCGUUGUUCGGAAUUACUGGGCGUAAAGCGCACGUAGGCGGCUUGGUAAGUUAGAGGUGAAAGCCUGGAGCUCAACUCCAGAAUUGCCUUUAAGACUGCCGAGCUAGCAGGCGAGAGAGGUAAGUGGAAUUCCGAGUGUAGAGGUGAAAUUCGUAGAUAUUCGGAAGGACACCAGUGGCGAAGGCGGCUUACCGGCUCAUACUGGACGCUGAGGUGCGAAAGCGUGGGGAGCAAACAGGAUUAGAUACCCCUGUAGUCCCUGUCUCUUAUAC
rnacentral:rRNA from 1 species